GAUGAAGAACGCAGCGAAAUGCGAUAAGUAAUGUGAAUUGCAGAAUUCAGUGAAUCAUCGAAUCUUUGAACGCACAUUGCGCCCGCUAGUAUUCUGGCGGGCAUGCCUGUCCGAGCGUCAUUUCAACCCUCAAGCACGGCUUGUGUGUUGGGCCUCCGUCCUCCUCCCGGGGGACGGGCCCGAAAGGCAGCGGCGGCACCGCGUCCGGUCCUCGAGCGUAUGGGGCUUCGUCACCCGCUCUUGUAGGCCCGGCCGGCGCUUGCCGACACAUCAAUCUUUUUUCCAGGUUGACCUCGGAUCAGGUAGGGAUACCCGCUGAACUUAAGCAUAUCAAUAAGCGGAGGA
rnacentral:misc_RNA from 1 species